AUGACUCAACUUUGUACUAACUUUAGUACAAAAUUAAGUCAUCUAUUUUGGAACGGAGGGAGUAUCAUUUUUCCCCGUGCAAAACCUGGUCGUUACCUAAUUAUGAGUUGCCUAGAAAAUGGAAACUACCUCAAAAAAAAAGGAAUGCACGUGUCAAUUAAAAAAAAUCCCGCUAAAUGUGGACAUGAAGAUGACAAUAAAAGUGAAAGACUCGAGAUAAGGAAGGACGUGCAGGAAAUUGACUCCAAUUAUAUGGAUUGUGGGCAUUAUUGGAGAAUUAAAUGGGAUUUCGGGAAACCCAAUAAAGGACCACAUGCACGCCGUAUUUCUUUCCAUGAAAUGGAAUUUUCAUGA
rnacentral:rRNA from 1 species